AACGCUGGCGGCGUGCCUAAUACAUGCAAGUAGAACGCUGAAGGAGGAGCUUGCUUCUCUGGAUGAGUUGCGAACGGGUGAGUAACGCGUAGGUAACCUGCCUGGUAGCGGGGGAUAACUAUUGGAAACGAUAGCUAAUACCGCAUAACAGUAGAUGUUGCAUGACAUUUGCUUAAAAGGUGCAAUUGCAUCACUACCAGAUGGACCUGCGUUGUAUUAGCUAGUUGGUGGGGUAACGGCUCACCAAGGCGACGAUACAUAGCCGACCUGAGAGGGUGAUCGGCCACACUGGGACUGAGACACGGCCCAGACUCCUACGGGAGGCAGCAGUAGGGAAUCUUCGGCAAUGGACGGAAGUCUGACCGAGCAACGCCGCGUGAGUGAAGAAGGUUUUCGGAUCGUAAAGCUCUGUUGUAAGAGAAGAACGAGUGUGAGAGUGGAAAGUUCACACUGUGACGGUAUCUUACCAGAAAGGGACGGCUAACUACGUGCCAGCAGCCGCGGUAAUACGUAGGACCCGAGCGUUGUCCGGAUUUAUUGGGCGUAAAGCGAGCGCAGGCGGUUAGAUAAGUCUGAAGUUAAAGGCUGUGGCUUAACCAUAGUACGCUUUGGAAACUGUUUAACUUGAGUGCAAGAGGGGAGAGUGGAAUCCCAUGUGUAGCGGUGAAAUGCGUAGAUAUAUGGAGGAACACCGGUGGCGAAAGCGGCUCUCUGGCCUGUAACUGACGCUGAGGCUCGAAAGCGUGGGGAGCAAACAGG
rnacentral:rRNA from 1 species